GCCGCCGCCGCGCCGCCGCCGACCAAUCAGCGCCGCGCCGCCCCGCGCCGCGCCCCCAUUGGUCCGGGCGGGAAGCGGGGCUCGGACCGGCGCGCCGGGCGGGGGGCGCCCCGGGCCCGGCCCGGCCAUCCCCGGCCUUAUCCCCAUCCUUAUCCUUAUCCCCAUCCUUAUCCCCAUCCCCGGCCUUAUUCCCGUCCCUGUCCCGCCGUCCCGCGCGGGGCGAUCCCCCCCGCCGGUGCCUCCAUCCGCCGAGCCGGGGGUCCGCUCCGUUGCGUUCAAAAGCAUAGCCGUCCCUCCCCGCAGCCCCGCCGGUACUCGCCGGGCCGGCAGCGGAGAACUCGCCGUGCCCCUACCUGCUACCCGAGCGGGUUCGGCUGCCCCGACACUAUCGCAUCUUCCUCCCGGGAAGGGAGGCGGAGAGCCCCGGUACAGCGGUCCCCGAGGCGGAGAGCCCCGGUACAGCGGUCCCCGAGGCGGAGACCCCCGGCACAGCGGUCCCGGCUGAGCUGCUGGGCAGAACCGGGGAGUAACGGGGGGUCUCUCUGCUAAACCCCCCGGGGCACACGGGACGCUGCUCCGCUGCUGCCGGACCCCCGCCGCCACGUCUCAAACUUCGGGGAAAUCCCUUUCGAUCCCCCCUCCCGCUCCUUUCCCGUCCCUUUUCCGCUAGGACCGGCUUUUUAUCCCGGCGGGAGAAACCCAGAGCUCUCAGGAACGACCAGAAGAGCGAAACAAACAAGAAACCGCGGAAGAAAGCAUUGGAAAGGCGGCCGGGAGAUAAUCCAGGAAUGCUUCAGAUAAGGAAAGGAGGGGGGCUAUACGUGCGGAGAUACCCGAAAAAGUCCGAGCCUGAUGGAAGGGCUGAAAGAGGGACGGGGGGUGAGGGGGAAACCCGCACUUGUUUAGAGUCUAUGAAAGGUCACAGCGGGCUGGGGGGUGGCUGCGGGUGCUGAUAAGAGUUUAGGAACGAGGGGGUUUAAGCGCGCAGCGUUUGGGGAGGGGGUUUAUUUACCGGCUGCCGAUGCUGAAAAGAAAAGAGAAGCGGGACCGUCCGGAAAGUCAGGCCGGGGUCAGCCAGGGGCUGCCCUGCGCCCACCGCCGGCACAGCUCCGGCCCCGGAGCCGCGGCCGCCCCGGGAGCACCGGGGGCCGGUACCGGGAGCUGCCGCUCCCCCGCGGCCGGGCCUGCCGCUCGCACAACUUGAUUCAUUCAAUGCAGGGCUUCAGGAAAUAUUUCCUAAUAAAAUUUACGGUUGUCUUCAAA